GGAGGGUAUAGCUCAGCUGGUAGAGUGCCUGCUUCCCAUGCAUGAGGUCCUGGGUUCAAUCCCCUGUUCCUCCA